CCUACGGGUGGCAGCAGUGAGGAAUAUUGGUCAAUGGGCGCAAGCCUGAACCAGCCAAGUCGCGUGAGUGAAGACGGCCCUACGGGUUGUAAACCUCUUUUGCCGGGGAGCAAGCCUGAGCACGUGUGACCAGGCGGAGAGUACCCGGAGAAAAAGCAUCGGCUAACUACGUGCCAGCAGCCGCGGUAAUACGGAGGAUGCGAGCGUUAUACGGAUUUACUGGGUGUAAAGGGAGCGUAGACGGUUACGCAAGUCUGGAGUGAAAGGCGGGGGCCCAACCCCCGGACUGCUUUGGAAACUGUAUAACUGGAGUGCAGGAGAGGUAAGUGGAAUUCCUAGUGUAGCGGUGAAAUGCGUAGAUAUUAGGAGGAACACCAGUGGCGAAGGCGGCUUACUGGACUGUAACUGACGUUGAGGCUCGAAAGCGUGGGGAGCAAACAGGAUUAGAUACCCCAGUAGUC
rnacentral:rRNA from 1 species